GUGGCUUAGAGUGCCUCCCUAAAGUCAAAUGAAACAAAUAGACUUUAAUUAAUUAUGUCCUAUUUUAUUAUUACUUAUUUUAAUCAAUGUCCACCCUGCUAGCUAGGCUUGAUUAAAUCUUUAGUUCUAAGGUAAAUUAAACAUUUCAGUUUGUAGUUUAGUAAAAAGGGGACAUUUUGGACAAAGCUGGGAGGGGCCCAUCCAGUAACUAAAAAAACCAAUAUACCAUCUAAUACCAUUGAUCAUUGAUUAGGGGGAGGGGUAGUACAGAAAUACAAGAGUUUGAAACACAGGAACAGAUAGGUAUGUGGGUAGGCGGGGACAGUAGAGCAGGGGGAGUGCAAAUACUGACUAUAUACCAG